AUUAAGUUUAAUUUAAUAUAGGAUCUGCUCAAUGAUUUAUUAAAUAGCUGCAGUAUUUUGACUGUGCAAAGGUAGCAUAAUAAUUAGUCUUUUAAUUGAGGACUUGUAUGAAAGAUUUGAUGAGAAAUAAACUUUAUUAUCUAUAUAAUUAAAAUUUUAUUUUUAAGUUAAAAAGCUUAAAUUAUUUAAAGGGACGAUAAGACCCUAUAAAACUUUAUAAAUAUUAAUUUUAAUUUUUUUGGAAUAUAAAUAUUUUAGUUUUAAUAUUUAUUUUAUUGGGGUGAUAAAAAAAUUUAAUUAACUUUUUUUAAAAUUUUACAUUAUUUAAUGGAUAGUUGAAUUAAAAUUUUUAAUUAAAGGAAAAAGUUACUUUAGGGAUAACAGCGUAAUUAAUUUUUUAAGUUCAAAUUUAAAAAUUAGUUUGCGACCUCGAUGUUGAAUUAAGAUUAAUCUUAGGUGCAAAAUUUUAAGUAUUAGGUCUGUUCGACCUUUAAAUUCUUACGUGA
rnacentral:rRNA from 1 species